rnacentral:ncRNA from 2 species
UGUGUUGCCUUAAAAUAAGAUGCCAUUAGGCUUAAUAGGGAAUCUGGUGAGAAUCCAGAGCUGCCCCCGCAACUGUAAUUGCUGACGAAAUGAGCAGACCACUGUAUAAGUAAGCUUUGUAGGUGCUUAUAUGGGAAGGGCUCAAAGUAGGAGGAAGCAUAAGUCAGGAGACCUGUCUUAUUUUAAGAUGUUUC